UAUUUUGUUUAUUUUUUUAUGCUCUGAGAAUCAAUACCCACCAGGCCACGAAAGCGCUCAAAAGUAGAAAACAUUGCAUAAAAUUCCAAAUCCAAUAGCCAUUUUCUCAUCUCUUUGCUCUUCCACGCCCGCACUCAAGACUCUUCAGCUAAUCUCCGUGUGAGCGUUUAAUCCAACAAGGAAGAAGUAUGGUGGGAUUUUCUUUUCCCUUUGGUUUAGUAUCCAUCUCUGGCUAUCUUGCACCUGAGAAAGAAUUUCACUUGCUGGCAUCUGUCUUCUUUGGCAUCAUUCUCUGCAAUAUUGUUUACAGAUUAACGCAGCUUAUUAGCCUUCUUAGCGUCAAGGGAUAUGACAAACUCACCAAAGCAGAAAAAGUUGAAUGGAACAACCGGGGGUUCUCAACUGUUCAUGCUAUUGCCGUAGCAUUUGCAUCCUUUUACCUUGUAGUGCUGUCAGAUACUUUUCAUGAGGAUCAUCGUGAUGAGCCAAUCGUGAGUAGAAGAUCUACCAUUUCAGAUACAACAUUGGGGAUCUCCAUUGGAUAUUUUCUGUCAGACUUGGGAAUGGUCUUUUGGCAUUUUCCUGCUUUGGGUGGACUGGAGUAUGUUUUGCAUCAUGGACUGUCUAUGUACUCAAUCUUGCUCUCCCUUAUAAGUGGAAAAGGCCAGAUUUACAUACUAAUGGUUCUGUUCUCUGAGAGCACAACUCCUUUCGUAAACAUGAGAUGGUAUUUGUAUGUUGCUGGUAAGAAGAACUCUAACCUGUACGUCUUCAAUGGCGUAGCAAUGUUCCUCGGGUGGCUGGCUGCAAGGGUUCUUUUGUUCAUUUACUUUUUCGUCCACAUGUUUAUCCAUUUUGAUCAAGUCAAGACAAUCUUCCCUUUAGGAUUUUACAGCUUGCUCCUUGUGCCUCCAAUGUUGACUAUGAUGAAUCUCUUUUGGUUUUGGAAGAUUACCAAAGGUUUGAUCAAAACUGUUUCCAAGGCCAAACACAGUCAUUGAUCCUUCUAUCUCACAAGUCGGGAAUUCGACCUACCCAAAUAUACAUUACUCAGUUCGAGUCUUCAUGAACUUGCAAACUUCCGAUGAGAUUGGGGAUGAAAUGGAGUAGCAGUCUUUUAUGUCUCUUCCAGCAUCAACUCGUACGAAUGAGUUGUGCCAAAAUUGUUAUCCGUUGAUUAUGAAAAUGAUUUUCACACACCAUUCCUUCCAAUAAAUAACCUUGUUUGUUUUUA